rnacentral:lncRNA from 1 species
UGACUUUUUUCAGUACUGAUACCAGGAAGGAAUUCCACCAAUGUGUUCUUCUAAACCAUUCUUUUCCAGGAAGCAGUUUCAUGGGCUGUUUUUUAUUCUGGUCCCCAGUAAAGGCUGCUGGGAUCCCACAACAGCACAGUCGGGUAAGAGCAGUUCUGCAAGGAACCAGUUGCACGGCCUUUCAUUGGGGAUAGAUUUUAAAGCACCUGAAGGAAUGUUUGCACCACGUCUUCCAGUCAAUCCUCCAUUAUUAUUUUGUCUCCAGGCCAGGCUUUAGAAAGGUAUUGAACAGCAGAUAGUUAUACUCCCUGUGGAGGCCUCGG